rnacentral:RNase_P_RNA from 1 species
AAAGCAGGCCAGGCAGUCGCGGCUUCGACGUUUCGUGCGUCGAGGGCGAGGAAAGUCCGGACUCCACAGGGCAGGGUGAUGGCUAACGGCCAUCCGUGGCAACACGCGGAACAGGGCAACAGAAAGCAAACCGCCGAUGGCUCCUGGCGCAAGUCGGGAGAUCAGGUAAGGGUGAAACGGUGCGGUAAGAGCGCACCGCGGCCAUCGUGAGACUGGCCGGCACGGUAACCUCCACCCGGAGCAAUUCCAAAUAGGCAGGCGCGCAUCUUCGAGAUGCAGGACGGUGCCCCCGUUCGUCUGCGGGUAGGAAGCUUGAGCGCGUCAGCAAUGGCGCGUCUAGAGGAAUGACUGCCACGCGCGAUCGCUUUCGGGCGUAUUGCGUGCACAGAAUCCGGCUUAUCGGCCCGCUUUGUCG